GCGGCUCGUGCAGCUCCGCCAAUUAGGAGCACUGAGCGUGACCACGUGAACAAAUCCCGUUGUCUAAAUUCCCGUUCAGCGGCGAGCAGCUCGGAGUGAGCGGCAGCACUGAAAGCCACAUUGAGAGGGAAGUAAUAACGGAGCGGUGCUCAGACAGGAGAAACCAGCAGGCGGCUCCGGGCUCUCUAGCUCGCUCGCGCUCGCUGCCCGGUUGUCAAGGCACUUUGUGACUUCUCCUCGUUGCGGCUGGACGGUGACGGCUCAGAUUGGCUCCCUCUCGGAUUUUUGCCCGUUUGGAUUUCUAUAUUUUGGUGUCACUGACGGACUCUCAGCUGCGAAUUGCCAACACUGUACUGAAGCCUGCCUGCUCUGACAGCGCGACUCCACACAGACAGACAGGCUGAUAGACACCGAGGAAGAAGCGGGCAGAUAAACAGAUAGGAGGACAGAGGGAGAAGUACAGCCUCUCAUUGAGUGGUGGCUGGAGUGACAGAGGAGCACAUGAAGAGGGGAAACGGCGUGACAGCAACAUCCUGACCGGUAACCUCGCUUCCGCACCCCACCACGCGCCCGGCAAACUCCAAGCAAGCGGGGCGUCAGAAGGAAGGAAACGCGCGACCACUCCUCCUGCAGGCAUGAGGUCCUUCCGUUCCUUUAGUAACGAUGACCGCCAUGUCAUGGCUAAACACUCCACCAUCUACCCUUCCUCUCAAGAGCUAGAGGCAGUUCAGACGCUGGUGUCCACUGUCGAGUGCGCCCUCAAACACGUCUCUGAUUGGCUGGAUCAGAGCAGCAGCGACGUCCACAGCCAGGUCAACAGCCAACCAGCAGACAGCACAGAGGAGGAUGACCCUGGCGAUGAGCCCGGCGAUGAAACUGAGGAAUCCAAUGACGGCUACAGGGAGUCCAGCGGUGGUGGCGUGCUGUGUGGAGUGAUGAGGAUCGGCCUGGUUGCCAAAGGCCUCCUGAUCAAAGGCGACAUGGACCUAGAGCUGGUGCUGAUGUGCAGAGACAAACCUACACAGACACUGCUGGACACUGUCUGUCACAAUUUACCCACACAGAUAGAGAAGCUGACAGAGGAGAAAUAUGAGGUCGCAAGCUCCUUACCCGAGGCAGCCAUCUUGGUACAAACUACAACAGAGCCCAAACUCACACUGAAGAUUACCCUCACCUCACCGGCCAUGAGGGAAGACGAGGAAGAAGAGGAGGAGGAGGAGGAGGAGCAGGAAGAGGAGGAAGGGGAGAUGGAGAAUGGAGAGGAAGGAGAGCAGGAGGAUGAAGAGGAGGAGGAGGAAGUGCAGGAGGAAGAGGAGGAGCAGGAGAAGAACGGGCGAGUGUUGGGUGCUGCUGCGCACAGAGUGGAGGCUGAGGAGGAGGAGGAGGAGGAGGGGGAGGUGCUGGAUAGACACAGAUGUCUGUUGGCCCUGGCAGCGCUGCGACACGCCAAGUGGUUCCAGGCUCGAGUGAACGGGCUCAAGUCCUGCGUUAUUGUUCUCAGGAUACUUAGAGACAUGUGCAAUAGACACCCCGUCUGGGAGCCUCUCAAAGGAUGGCCCUUAGAGCUUAUCUGUGAGAAGGCAAUUGCCACCUGCAACAGACCUCUUGGGGCAGGAGAAGCCCUGCGUCGAGUCAUGGAGUGUCUGGCCUCAGGCAUACUGCUACCAGGUGGUCCAGGUUUACACGACCCAUGUGAGAAAGAGCCAACAAACACACUAGCCAACAUGACCGACCAGCAGGCUGAGGACAUUACCUACAGCGCACAGCAUGCUCUCAGACUCAUGGCAUUCGGGCAGAUCUACAAGGUGUUGGAGAUGGAACCUCUCCCCUCAAAUAAACCUUCACAGAAAUACCCUUGGUCCGAUAAAGAAGGUUUAGGUCUGAAGAGGCCAUACGAGGAUGGAGCAAUGGAUGACAAGGACCUCAUUAAGAAGAUGAAGAGGAAUCUGAGGAAAGUCUUGGACAGUAAAGCCAUAGACUCCAACCAGCCAAUGAACGCUCUGAUGCGGCUGAACCAGAUCCGGCCAGGGCUGCAGUACCGCCUGCUGUCCCAGUCGGGCCCGGUUCACGCUCCGGUCUUCACCAUGUCUGUGGAUCUAGAUGGAACCAUUUAUGAAGCAUCUGGAUCCUCCAAGAAAACCGCCAAGCUCCACGUCGCUGUCAAGGUUCUCCAGGCAAUGGGCUACCCGACGGGUUUCGACUCAGACCUGGACCCCAUGAGUUCAGAUGAGAAAUCAGAUGGCGAGGGGAAGAGCGAGACAUCCUCACACAUUAGCAAUAACCCAACACACUCCUCGGACAGUUCCAACACACUGGAGGUGCGAACUCAGGGUCCCAUACUGACAGCAAGUGGGAAGAAUCCCGUCAUGGAGCUAAACGAGAAGAGAAGAGGCCUCAAAUAUGAGCUUAUCUCUGAAAGUGGAGGAAGCCAUGACAAACGUUUUCUUAUGGAGGUGGAGGUGGAUGGGCAGAAGUUUCGUGGGGCAGGCCCCAACAAAAAGGUAGCAAAGGCCAGCGCUGCUCUGGCAGCUCUGGAAAAACUCUUCUCUGGUCCCAAUGCAGCUGCAAACAAGAAAAAGAAGAUAUUGCCUCAGACUAAAGGAGCCCUGGCGGCGGCGGCAGCAGCCUCAGCAGUAGCAGCUCAGGUAGCCAGAGGGAGAGGAAGAGCAGCCCUUGCAAGAGGAGCCUUCGUCAGUACAGCUGCACCUGGAUAUGUCACGCCAGGCUUCGGGACACCGUAUGGCUACAGCCCUGCUGCAGCAGCUGCUCCUGCAUACGGUUUGCCCAAGAGAAUGCUUCUGUUGCCUGUCAUGAAAGUGCCCGCCUACCCCGUCCCCCACUACCACUUCUUUUAGCACAGGAGACAUACAUACCAAACACACCUUUUUCUAGAAGGGAAACUCAGUCUGUUUUGUUUUUUUGUUGUUUUUUUUUUCUACAAUAUCAUGGGGAGAGGAUUAAGGACUUGAGCUGAAGAUUUGUAAAAGCGCUUUUUUGCCUUUUUUUUGUUUAAUUUUCAUACUGUUUCCAAAAACUUUUAUGAAUAUGAAAAAAAUAAUUGCAGGUUUAAGUUCUUAAGAGAUAAACAAAAACUUGAAGGAUUUGUACUGUGAAUUGUUACCUCAUUCUUUGAGUCUAAAUUAUAUAUAUAAACCUUUUAUUAUUGUGCUUAUGCUUUGCUUUGAGGAGGAUAGCCUUUGCAAUAUAAUACACACAACACACACAUUGUUUGUGAAAAUAAUAAUGUGAGCUGUGUGAAGGAUGUAUAGGAUUAAAUAAAUAAUGUUGAAAAAUGAAUAAAGUUUAUCUCCUAUAAAAGCUGAACACUGCCUGGUGUAUAUCUGAUUUAAAGGCUUUCAGCCGAUGCAGUAGCACCUUUUUGUUUGGCUGGCUUUGUUUUGUAGUGGAUUUGGCCUUUGUCAUGCAGUUAUAACAUGUGAAAGGAUUUACCCACUCUUUAAACUGAUGCACAAUCCUGUGACCUAAACUAACAUUUGAACAUGAAGCUUUAAUAUUCCACCCUCAUACAUUCCCGCUGAUUGAAUUUCAAGCUUUCCACGUUCCUCAGCGCCUCUCGUUACAUCCUUUUGACCCUCGGCUUAUAGAUAUUCAGAGAGAAAGGCUAGAAGACAAAGGAUGAAUUUAGAAAACGCUUCUUAGAUCCCGCAUCUUGCAUUCAGCUGCACGAUCUCAUUACCUUAUGUGGAUUAAUAUUUGGCAGAUUUGCCACAGCUAUCACCUACAGUACAUAUGGACAGCUUUUAUAUGUUGUCACAGCCAACUGUAACCAUAUUGCGCCUACACAUACUACAUCUAGAUCCACGCAUUUUUUUCCACUUGACUUGUGCAUGUAGUUGUCACUUUACAGUCAGUCAAAAGCAGCAAUAAGGGACCCACGUGAAUUCAAACGUCACUGUCAAUAUGUUUUAUGUUAUUCUUUCAUUAUUUCCAUAUCAUUGCUGUAUUUGUUUUUUGUACCUUUUUGCUCAGCCUUCCCAUCAGGACCAGCAUCACCUGAGCCACUGAAACAUGGCUUCAAAACAGUCACUCUAUGACUCUCGAAUUUUCAAACAAAGGUUUAAAAAUUUGUCACAAGAAUGACCUAAUGUUGCAGGUAAAAAAAACAAAUGAUUGCUAAAUUGAAUUAAUUAAUGAAAUGAUUAAUUGGUUAAAACAUAAAGAGAGGAGCCCAGCUAAAUGAAGUACAGUAGAGGAGAUACUUCAGGUUAUUCUGUCGACUUACCAAAGGUCAAUGGUCAGUGCCAGUCAAGACAGAGUUAAGCUGGCCCUUCACCACGUCCUGGUCAUCCAACCAGCGAGAGAUAACCCCUGACGACGUCUCCAUGGUUACGGCUAUGAGGCACAGCCAUUGGAUGAGAGGAUCCAGUAUCUUGUCCAAUGGCGGACUUUUCAUUGACAAUCCCUUCUACCAGCCGCGGACCAUCGCUCCUUUUAUCAUUCACCUGGGUCCCCAAGAUCUCUUCUCUGACUUCUAGAGGCAGCAGGUUGCUGGAUAGUCUCUUCACACCUAACCUGGCUGCUCACAUGCCCACCUGUUUUUUCUGUCCCGUCCGAGUGGGCUGCCUUUCUAUCCCAGCUGACGGACCCACAUAUCCAACACUGCUUCAGUUUUGAUCAGUCCGCUGGAGAGGGAAAAAAAACUUUCUGCCUGACAACAGCGACAGAACUGUCUGACCUACUGACUGAGGGGCUCAAAGCUCCUCUCUCCGUUUCCUGUUCUCUGCAUCCAGAUUAUCACAUCAGAGGAGAGCAACUCUACAAUAAGCAAUACUCGGAUUUUACGAGAAACGUUCAGCUGCGACUGUGUGAGGCUGGGCUGAACUUUGGUCUUUCAUAUAGCAAUACAUCUGAACUCCUCUGUUCGAGCUUAUACUUACUUGAGAAGAUGUGAAUGUUCGAUGGAGUUUUACCCAACACAGCAUUGCAAUAGUUCAUUUUGAUUGUAUAUUCAUUGUAUGUGUGUGUACGUGUGGCUAUAACGUGACUAUAUACACAUAUGUACGGUGUAUGUUUCUAUAAUGAUGUGUUGACAAUAAUAUUACUAUAUGAUGAUGUAUUUAUGUAAAUACUCUAUAAAAUAUAACUAUUGUUGGUAUAAAUUAUUUUAGAAUUAUAAAGUGAAAUGUAACUAAUAUCACAGUAUAGCUUUCUUCCAAUUUUAUAUACACUGAGCAAUUGAAGCUAGUUCUAGGAGAUGCAAUAUUAUCUUUGGUAUUCCUAUUAACCUGUGCUGUUAGAAUAAUGCUUCCUUCUUUCCUUUCCUUCCUUCCUCUCCUUUCCUUCCUCUAUCUUUGAUGUCUUUCUGAGCCUUUCUGAGCACGCUCUCUGCUGCCCGAGGUUUGUUUACGUGGCCUGGACAAAGAGGUGCUCACUACUGAACACACUCAUCACCUAAUCACACCUGUGCACACACACACACACACACAAACACACAUUUGUACACACACUUUACCUGUCAGAAAGCACAUUUUCUAUAGUCUCACUACUGGCAGGGAAUACAAUUGUUAAAAAUAUUCUAUAUGUAUGAUAUGUGUAUACUCUGAAUUACGCGCUCCUCCCUCAAACCAUUAACACACCGUAACGGACUCACCCAUCAACACACAGCUCUGUCCCGUUCGCCUUAGGGAUCGAAAGCACAGCUCACUGGCACCGCUUACUUCUCCUUCUUUCUGCAAACACACACAUUCACACACACCCUUCCUUCCACCCUCCUGUUGUCACUCUAUGCUGUAUGGAAGUGAUGCUGCUUGUGGCAGAAACGUCUUUGACAAGGGGCCUUGUUACAUGAUGGGAAAGACACAGCACAAACUAGUGGCGUACUAAUUAAACGACUGGAUUGGAUUUAUAUGCUCCUGCCUGUACAUCACCUUUAUCAUUUCCGCAGACUGAUCGCUCCUGUGUUUAUAUAGUGGGAUUUUAGGGUUCAUUCAUGGAUGUAGGGAUAUUUCAGUUGUUGUUGAUGUCAGCUGAAUGGAUGUUUUGCAGCUUGUGUUGCAUUAGAGCAAAGGAAAGGAAGCCAGGGUAGAAGUAAGCAAGACAGAGAAAGUUUCAGUGACCAUGGCUGCCUGUGAUGGAUGGCAAUGAUAUCUGUCAAUUAAGAAGCACACAAAACUUCUUUCUAAGCAUUAAAGACCCUGAAAACUUCCACUAACACUCAGCUAAUCUGAGGGGUUGAACGGGUUGAUCAUUGUUGCUAAAUCCUGAUUGGUGCACUUGUUGUGACAUCACCUCUUUCUAACUGAACCUUGUUCACCUGACACUAGUGAGAAAAGGUCUUCCAGCUUUGGGAGAAGAUAGAAUCAGUUAUAGCAGGAAGCUGAUUGAGGGAAUUUGUUUUAAGGGUCUUUAAUAUGCUCUUCAUGGAACAGUGAUUCUCAUUAACAUUUUCAUUAAGGCCCACAUUUGAAAAACUGAAAUUAACUUCUGAUAUUGAAACAGCUUGUAAAAAAAAAAAAAAAAAAAAAAAAAAGAAAUACACAUACACAUACACUGACUUUGUAUUUUGAGACAGAAGAUUUCAAGCCUCUUCUUACGAUUUGUGGAUGCAUGUUGAGGUAUUUCUGCCCUGGCCUCAGCUCUCACACACAGUGCUGGUGCAAAGGUUACUGCAAAGAGAUUUUGAGAAGAGAAAGCAGAGUUUUGUUCAUUGUAAUUUUUACUCUCAAAAUACUUGUAUAUUGUUUAUUAAUACUUGAGUGUAUAGAGGUAGUGUUGUUAGUUUAGCCAUGCUAACGCACAUAACAGAGUUUACAUAGGUAGUAAAUAGACUGGGAUGAGAUAUUCCAUUAAACUCUAAAGUGCUUUAUUCAUGUAGUAUGUUGGGUCUAAAUUCUGGGGUAUUGUUGGAACCGAACAGGUGUCUCAACACUGCAUGAACUUCCAGGGCAGUCUCAGUGUGCACACUGUACUUACUGAGAUUUCGGUGAACUUCUGUGACGCUUACGUGUUUCUGAAAGCUUUUUGUCGGUUAUUUUUUAUUUUUAGCCUUUAAUAGAGACAAUAUGUCAGUCAGCAAAGACAAAAUCGAACAGGAUGUGCAUCAAAAGGCUGUGAUUCUCACGCUCGCCUUGAUCUGGGUGCCAGCUUUAUUCAACAAAAACUACGUGUGAGAAACAGACAAUAGAUUCAUUAAGGCUCAUAAAGCCAAUUUUUCAAGACAAGUUAAAUUAGAAUCAGAUUUCAUGACACUACUGAGCCGACAGUGAAAAGAAUUUGGCACUUUUAGUGAAGACGCAAUAAAAUUGUGACACUAAGCUGUGAUUGAGAGAUUGGAGAUAAACUAGAGGAAGUCCUGUACUUCCUUUACUGUUGUUUUUUGGUCUCGGGGCAGUGAGGUCAAGCUCACCAGCUCUUGGUCACUAAUGUUUGAACAGAUGUUUCCUCAACCUCAGCAGCUGGACUUAUCCACACAGUGUUCAUGGGGUAUCCACCGUCCUGCACUGGAGGAAUCGGUGGAUGAAGUCUUGAUUAUACAGUCAUAGAAAUGUCACUGGUCAAUACUUGUAAUGGCACCCAAGCUGCCCCUUCAGUGUCCUGGAAAUCAAAACUUUAUAGAUAUUUUAUCUGCUAAUCUCUGUUUACAUAGAGUAUGUGAACUAGAUCUGCCUGGAAUUCAAAGGAAUAAAUUAGUGCUAAGAUCGUCUUACUUCUCUGACAUGCAGCAGCAUUAAAAUACUAAGCUGUCUUGUAGAAACUAGAUCCUGCUUCUUAAAAGAAUCACCUACUCUGACAUACUCUCCAUGUUUAAUGACUCUAAGCUUUUUUAUUUUUUACUGUGGUUCUCCAUCACAUCAGCGAAAGCAUAGUCGUCUCCCCUCUAAAAGUCUUGAACAGGGACCUGAGCGAUCACUGCUUUGCUCAGACUUUUCAUCCUCGUGUGGAAUUCACAUGCAGGUGAAAUAAGCUCCAAGUUUCACUGUGUGGAAACAGGCCUUGUCUAUCAGCUAAGAAUUUCUCCUAAUUUCCCCUCUGCCCUUUCUCCGUCUCUCUCUCGCUCUCUCUCGUGCUCUCUCUGUGCCCCUGUCCUCUCUCUCCAGAUGGCCCACAUUAAUAAGGCAGACAGUCAUACUUCAGUGAGCAACCUUUUCAUUUCCCCUCAGACUGAGCAGAGACACACAAGGAGUCACCCUGACUACUGACCCUGUCCUCUUGGUCUGUUGGCUGGACGGCCGCGUUCAGAGGAGAGGUGGCAGAGUGAGAGCUCAGGGAAACGCAGUUGGUCUAAAACUGGCACAAGCGGUCUGGUGGGACUGUACAGGCUGGUCCGCAGUCAUAGAUGGUGUUAAUUUACUGGGGAGUUAUUGUUUGGUUAGACAGAGGUCCCAGAUGUGUGUUUCUUGUUGGAAUUUGCAGUGAAAAGGAGAAAAAGAUUACCACAACCUGAAAGCCCUGUGUUUUCAGUCUGAUGUUUAAUUUAAAAGAUAUUCUCCAAGUAUCCAAGCAGUUCUUGGUCUAAAAGAGAUUAUUGCAGGGAAAAGAAAGAAAAUAUCACCCAUAUCUUCUCUGGCUGUGUUUCCCAUACUGUAGCACCACCAUGAAGAAGACAGGACCAGUCAUAGCCCACUAUGUCUGAAAUGAAAUGUCUCAGAAUAGAAAACAUUCCUGUGACAGGUUUUUCCUGAAGAAACACACUCACAGUAGCUGUGUUUACAGGCUUGGACAGUAACGUCCAUGUGGAUGACUUUUCUAGAGAGUAAUGGUUGUUUGUGCUGGACUUGAGUCCCACAGAGUUUUCUGAUGGAUGUUGUUCCUGCUCCAGUGUUUGCCAGAAAAUGUCUCUAUGCCAGGGGAGACCAUGGCAGCCAUUGUCCACACACACACACACACACACACACACACACACAUCCAUCCCUGCACCCUACAAACACUGCCUCUUGGUGGGCUUUCAACAACAACUACACCUGUAAUCUAAGAAGCACAAAACACACACACAAGCAAUACACCCACACAUCCUUCUCAGGGCUACCUGACACACACAUGUAUAUGCAAAUGGACAAAUAUACACUUUCAAGCACACAUGUAAUCAUAUAUGUAAAUAUAUAUUUCAGCAUUCACAGUCAAUAACAGCCGAGCACAUUGAGACCGCAUGACAUUCUUUGCUCCGUGGUUUGUAUAUCACACAUAUGAUUGUACUGUAUGUAGUGAGAGUCACACAAGUGGUUAGGCCUUGUUUGUAUUUUAGGAAUUGAGCCAUGUAAGAAAAACACACCCCCAUCUACCCCAUUUAUUAUCUUGGUGCUUAAUAACGGGCUGUCUGUAGCACUGUACAUAAUGGGUUUUACUUUGAACUUUGCUUUUCUGGAGAAACAGCAGUUAUAUGUGGACAACUCGAGCUUUGCUGUCAGGAGAAAAGAGGGAGGAGUGCCGUCAUCAAAAAAUUUUUUUAGCACCAAAAUACAGGGGCUUUGCACGUCGAGAUGCUGCAGUAAUGUUCAGUAGUUUAAAGAGCUCCGAGUCCUUUGGUUGCCAGGUAACAUCAGGUUUUUGGACUUUCUAUUUUGGAAACCAUGCAAGCUUGCUUUCCCAAAAGGCACCGCUUUAGCUUCCUGCCAGGUCAAAGGUCAAAAAGGAAAGCAAAGGUUGCUUUUGGGAAACGGGUUUUUGGUUUGUUCCGCAGGAUGGGAUUUAUCCAGACACCAAAGGCUCUGAAGCCUUUGUUGCAUAAAUCUGAUCAUCCCGGCAGUCUCAGAAGUGAGAAGUAUGUGAUCUGAUAUUCUCUGUCUAUACAGUUAUGAAAUGCCAGGUUAAAAAAAACAAACCAGCUCUCCUGUGUGUAAAUCCAGCCUCUGAAGGAAAACUGUGUCUUGCUCAUUCUUGCAUUAGCACAGAAAGUUGGGGUUUACAUCUGGCUAAAUUUGUCUGGAAGCAAGAGGGAGAAGAGCUGCACAAAGAGCCGGAAAGUCCAUCCACAAGUCACUCAGCAGAACUCAGCAGAGCAGCAGAAAUAGAUCCGGGAUCACGUUUCAGCUGCUGAGGCAAAGUUAACCAGACUAACUGCUGAACAGACCAUUUUCUCUGGGUGUGUGUGCAUGUGUGUCGAGGGGGACGUGUGUCUGUUUGUGUGUAUGUCUGACAAGCACAUGAACCGGAGGGGAUGGGAAGCUAUUUUACACCCAUAUGUGCACACACACGCGCACACACAAACACACACACACACACACAUAUAGUCACAUUGAGCAUGUUGCAUACUUCCUGGUCAUGGUCAACUGAUUGUUUAAGUCCAAUAUCCUCCUGAUAAACAAUCAAAGCAUUUUGGUUGGGAAUGUACGCUGUUGUUAUAGUGAUUGUAGAGUAGAAUGUAUUUACUCAUAGAAAGAGUAAACUUGCUUUUUGUAGAGAAGCAUAUAUACAGAAUAUAUAUGGAUACAUACAUAUAUAUAUACAUCUAUAUAUCUUUUGAACCACUUGUUGGUGAGAGUUGUUUUGGGUGCAUCCAUCCUGUUAGGAUUCAUAAUUUUUUUCCCCCCUUUUUCAAUUUUUAUUUAUGAUGUUUUGACAGAAGUAGCGAAUUUAUGAGUGAUGAGUGUUUCAUUUUUCCUGUAAAUAUUAUUUUUUAAUUUUAUUUCUGACAACAAGGGGAUUAAAAGAAGCUGUUUUAUGAUGCUGCCUAUGAAAUUAUGAAGUGAUAUCUCUCCACAGAAGCUAUUUGAUCCAUUAAAUUAUCUGAGUAAAUUUUGUGGAAUGUAACAAUCUCGCAGGCCAUGCUGAACAGAGGCCAGUGACAGUGAAAGAGGGGAAUCAUUUGAAACUCACUUUAUUGAUAGUUUUUAAUUGGUAGCAACAUUCACAGAAGUGAUGAUCUGUGGUUGUCACUGUUCUUGACAUAAUCUAUGCUUAAUGAACUGAAAAUAAAACUGAAAAAGUGCUGAAUCUCUGAA